rnacentral:rRNA from 1 species
GAUGAACGCUAGCUACAGGCUUAACACAUGCAAGUCGAGGGGAAACGCCAUUGAAGCUUGCUUCGAUGGUCGUCGACCGGCGCACGGGUGAGUAACGCGUAUCCAACCUGCCUCUGACCAAGGGAUAACCCGUCGAAAGUCGGCCUAAUACCUUAUGCAGUCGUCGGAAGUCAUCUGAUGACGACGAAAGAUUUCAUCGGUGAGAGAUGGGGAUGCGUCUGAUUAGCUUGUUGGCGGGGUAACGGCCCACCAAGGCAACGAUCAGUAGGGGUUCUGAGAGGAAGGUCCCCCACAUUGGAACUGAGACACGGUCCAAACUCCUACGGGAGGCAGCAGUGAGGAAUAUUGGUCAAUGGGCGAGAGCCUGAACCAGCCAAGUAGCGUGCGGGAUGACGGCCCUAUGGGUUGUAAACUGCUUUUAGGCGGGGAUAAAGUGAGGGACGUGUCCUUCAUUGCAGGUACCGCAUGAAUAAGAACCGGCUAAUUCCGUG